UACGUAGGUGACAAGCGUUGUCCGGAUUUACUGGGCGUAAAGAGCGCGCAGGCGGUCGAUCAAGUCGAGUGUGAAAGCCCCCGGCUCAACUGGGGAGGGUCAUUCGAUACUGAUCGACUCGAAGGCAGGAGAGGGUAGUGGAAUUCCCGGUGUAGUGGUGAAAUGCGUAGAUAUCGGGAGGAACACCAGUGGCGAAGGCGACUACCUGGCCUGUUCUUGACACUGAGGCGCGAAAGCUAGGGGAGCAAACGGG
rnacentral:rRNA from 1 species